UGGGGGAUAUUGGACAAUGGGCGCAAGCCUGAUCCAGCCAUGCCGCGUGUGUGAAGAAGGCCUUUUGGUUGUAAAGCACUUUAAGCGAGGAGGAGGCUACUUGGAUUAAUACUCUAGGAUAGUGGACGUUACUCGCAGAAUAAGCACCGGCUAACUCUGUGCCAGCAGCCGCGGUAAUACAGAGGGUGCGAGCGUUAAUCGGAUUUACUGGGCGUAAAGCGUGCGUAGGCGGCUUUUUAAGUCGGAUGUGAAAUCCCUGAGCUUAACUUAGGAAUUGCAUUCGAUACUGGGAAGCUAGAGUAUGGGAGAGGAUGGUAGAAUUCCAGGUGUAGCGGUGAAAUGCGUAGAGAUCUGGAGGAAUACCGAUGGCGAAGGCAGCCAUCUGGCCUAAUACUGACGCUGAGGUACGAAAGCAUGGGGAGCAAACAGG
rnacentral:rRNA from 1 species